rnacentral:rRNA from 1 species
AACGAACGCUGGCGGCAUGCCUAACACAUGCAAGUCGAACGAAGCCUUCGGGCUUAGUGGCGCACGGGUGCGUAACGCGUGGGAAUCUGCCCUUAGGUACGGAAUAACUCAGGGAAACUUGUGCUAAUACCGUAUGAUGUCGAGAGACCAAAGAUUUAUCGCCUAGGGAUGAGCCCGCGUAGGAUUAGCUAGUUGGUGGGGUAAAGGCCUACCAAGGCGACGAUCCUUAGCUGGUCUGAGAGGAUGAUCAGCCACACUGGGACUGAGACACGGCCCAGACUCCUACGGGAGGCAGCAGUGGGGAAUAUUGGGCAAUGGGCGAAAGCCUGACCCAGCAACGCCGCGUGAAGGAUGAAGUAUUUCGGUAUGUAAACUUCGAAAGAAUAGGAAGAAUAAAUAGACGGUACCAUUUAUAAGCUCCGGCUAACUACGUGCCAGCAGCCGCGGUAAU